CGGAGGGGUCUGGGAGCUUCUG
rnacentral:miRNA from 1 species